GCUGUGAAAGGAGUCGUUUUUCUUGUUCCAUCUUUAUGGAGAUACACACUGCUCACAAUGGGCUCCCCUGUGACAAGACAGUGAAAAUGCAAUAUUUGACAAACCAAAAUUACCUGCCACGGGCAAAACUUUUAGCUUGUUUUUCUCAAAUUGACUCCAUUCUCAGCAGAUUGUGUUCAUCAGUACGAGACCUUCAUCCUGUCCUUCAGAUUGCUACCAGGGUGUAAAAAAGAGCUGCCAUCCUCUCACACCGUGCUACACUUGUCACCACCCACUCUUCCCAUCUCACAGCUCCUUAAGACGCUUGUUUCUGUUCCCAGAAUGUAUCUUCCAGACGGAAUCAAAUGUGAUUUCAUCUCAGAUGGAAGCCUAAGUCCUUCCAGACGCUACUGGCUUGGCUCCCUUUGUUUAAACAAAAGGUUUUCCCCAAAAGCUGCACGGAGAAAAGGGCUCUUGAGUUUUUUGUUCUGUGAUUUGCUUGCAGAAGUCUUGCUGAAGCGUGCAGGGCUCACACUGAGGCCGUGAAUUUCCCCAUAAUAACAGCACGAGUACUGCUCCCUGCCUUAAUGCAGCAAGCAUGGGCAGCGCUCCUCUGUGCCUUCUGACAAGUGGCUCCUCUCAGCUCUGCAAAGCAGCAUUUCUGAAACUGAUGAAUACUACUGACCUUUGUACAGGGCUUAAACACUUGACUGCAUGUUAUUCCAUCUGUAAUGUCUCUUGCUCCAACUCGCUGCCUCUUCUUAAUGAAUGGGAAAUUGCAAGGUUACAAUCAACACUUCCAGGAACAGCCACUGAUUCUGGAUGAUUCU
rnacentral:lncRNA from 7 species